AAUUAGGGAUUCCCUGUGUUUCAAAUCGCCCUGCGUCUCUCUCUCUCUCUCUGAAUUAGGGUUACUACGGUUGGCUGCCGCCGCAAGCCCAAAAUGCUAAAAUUAGAACGAUGCAUAGAAAAGAUGUUUGAAGUCAGGAUUCAUAGUGGUGCCACCGAACAAAGAUGAACUGGUAAAUCAAGAAUUCAUUCAAUACCUAAAGGCCACUAAAUUAACUAAACUUCUGACUUACACUACAUGAUUCAGCUACAAUUGCAGCACAUAUAUAGCCCAUAUAUAGUCCAUGUAGCACAUAUUUUACAGCAACAGAUGCUCGUCUGGUACAAGCAUUCUACUUGGAUCCUUCACUACAUCUCAUUCUAUAUGAUUGUCUCAUCUUUGAUUGUAGCAUUCUUCAAAACUAUUGUAAUCCCUUAUCGUAUGUAUAAGCCAUCGGAGGUUCUUUCUGCUUUUGGGACACUAAUAUAAACAAAAAGGCAUCAAGGACAAUUCUUUGUGAAGGUAAGUUGAAGUUUGGAACACUUGCGUCCUUGUUUUCUAUUGAAACAUUUUUUCCUAUCCUCAUUCAUAUGGAUAAUGCAGUUCCUGGAAAGAUGAAGACUUCUACAUAGUUACUUACACUUACAAAUUCCUUUCCUGAUACAUGAGCCUUAUUGACUCACCUGAUCCUGGUGUUCUGUCCAACACCAAUUGGAACCUUACCAUCUGCCAGCAUAGAAACAAUUUCAGCUUCAGUUUCAUAGAUAUCAGCACCCAUCAUCAUAGUGUUCUGUGGAACUAAAGGAAUCAAAGCUUUGAUUUAUCAGGCAAAAUAAUCAUACUAUAAAUCAUCCGAAGAAUAAUGAAAUUGACCUUCAAUUCUGAACCAUAGUGGAGCCUCGAGCAUACCCCAACUAUGGAGAUAAUUGCAUCUAGAAUCUGUACAAAUGGCUUGCUAUUUCAGUUUAUACCCAAGUCCAGGGAGUCAGUGGAUCAUAAAAUUCAAACUAAGUAGUUUGUAUUCUAAUUUUUAGCAACCUGCUCUGUUAAUGCCAAAUUUGCAUAUCUGAUUGUUCAAAUAUCUUCCCAGUAGUUGUUGAACAUCUACACCUGCUAGGCUCACAAAGCUCUUAUUUGUUACACGGGCCAUGGACAGUGAAUUACUGUAACAAGGUCUCAAAUUAAGUGAAUUGAAUCAUUUCUUUAUCAUCACCUGAACAUUAUGCCCCUUUACAGCAAGGAAGGAUUUCUAAUCCGAAAUUAAACGUUUGAUUUCGGAUAUUUCCACCUAACCCGAAGGCUAUCUUUGCCACAACAUGAGGUAAAAUAAAGGCAAUAAACUUGAAAAGAACUUCAGUAUUUCAUGAAGCAAUGUCAUGAUUUGAUCCUUUUAACUCCUUUUGUUCGUUCUCGGAAUCAACGUUCGUACGCGAAGGCUCCAACUUUCUUCUCAAUUUUCGAAAGCAGAAUUCCAAUAAUUUAAGGGCAUAAAACCUAAAACUUCUAUCUCUGUCAAGUGUUAACUUCCUCACCUCAUGGAUCCGUAUUAUAAUGGUAAGAAGAUUUUUCUUUUAUGAACUGCAACUUGAAAAAGAGAUUUUGACGAGAUCCAUAUUUAUCCAUGCUAGUUUUCAUCGUAUCAUUCAAUUUUUGUUACAAUUAAUCUUCAUAGAGGAAUUGGAAAAUAACCUCUCUGGAUUUCUUUCAAGCCAUAAUUUGCCGACCUUUGAAUCAGCAAUCGACACGUUGACUGUAAUAGAACAUUCGUUUCCCCACUUGUGUAUUCCGUAGAAAGCAAAAGUAUUGCGUGUUAUUUUGAAUCCUGAUAUAGGGGCGCCGAGGUUUGUCCUUUCAGGAUCGGCGGCGUUUGAUGGCGACGGUGAGGGGAGGGUGGUGGCGGCAGAGCUUGGGCGGCAAACUGUGGAGUUCUCCAUCCUCGUGCAGAGGGUCACGGAUGCCUCUGCUCAAGGUUUAAUAUCUUUGGUAUCUUUCUCCCUUUAGGCAAAGGAAGUAAGGAAAAGGCCAUCGAAGAAAUGGAUCCAAAGAUAAAAGAAGUCACGGAAAACAUGAAAAUUUUACAAAUUUUAUCUUGUUUAGACACCGGAUGCACCUACCUAAUAUCAGCCAUGUAGAGGUAUACAUCUGUUUCGCCAAUGGACCCACAUUUUCCUUAUGGAUUACGAUGCUUAAUUGAUGGUUUUUGCUCACCUAUAUAUGAUAUGCCAAUUGCAAUUAGGAAACUACACAGAAUUGACAAAAAUGGUUUUUCAGGGUUUGAGGUCAGAUUUUGGAGAUCUGAAAUAGUAUUUCAGAUUUUGAUUGUUUUUUUGGACUCUUAUAAAUAAUAUAUUUCUCUCACGCACAUACAUGCUCGUGUGUGUGCGCGUACACAUAUACCCACACUUAUUGUUAAUGCUAAAUUAAUAUACACCACCAAUCACAAGGAAAGGACAAUUAAUGUUAAAUUAAUAUACACCACCAAUCACAAGGAAAGUUCAACUAAUGCUUUUCGAUUUUUGAUAGUAAAGUUGAUAAUUUGAUAGUGAUAGGAAUAAUACUUUUAAUAGUUUUAACUUCUAAUCUUUUAACUAAAUGCUUUUUUCCUUACCCCUAUGAGUGCAUGGAUUCCAUCGUGUGGAUCUAUUAUACCUUCAAUAACUAGUUUGAUUUGAUACAUAUUGAGUAAAUUAUUAUUGUUGUUGUUAUUAUUGUUGUAAUUUUAGAGUAUAACAAUUGUAAAUUGAUGCUCUUUAUAGUUUGACCGAUGUAAUCUUAUUGGAUGAUUGUUGUUAUUAAAAUAUUAUAAUUUGCAUAUUGUAAAUCGAUAUUUUAUUUGAGAAAUAUUUUAGCUUUGUCUAUAUUGAAAUUGAAUUUUUGUUGAGAUUUUAUGAGAUGAGUAUAGUUGUAAAAUGAUAUUUCAGAAAAAUUGUGUAGACUGCGCCAACAAAUUGAUACAUGUAUUAGUGUAUUCUUUUGUGUUAGUGCUCAAUUUUUGCAUGUAAUUUGGCCCACAAAACUAUUUUUGUCAAAAAUAUCAUGUGAUAAAUGACAUACAUUUGAGAUGUAAUUAAAGUGGAGGUUGUAAUAUUAACGUUAGAGAUAAAUUUUGUAAAUUCAAAGUA